GUACAUAUCCUAUCUAUACUGAAUCAUUUUAGUAUAGUAUCAACGUACAUCGAUUGGAAUAAUCCAAGCAUCCUCUAAGAUCUAUCCUUAUAGAUCUUCAUCCUCAGGAUGUAAGAUGCUUCUCUUAAAUCCAUCAUGGAGAACUUAGAUGAUAGCCUAACCAUUAUUCUCUGUAAUGUAGGGAUGCCAUUCUUGAUUAAGA
rnacentral:lncRNA from 1 species